CACCCAUUUUCUGCAUGCGUGCCUUAGAUUUUAAAGGGAGGAAUGAGUAACCGUGCAUGCCCAAUCGUCUCUCUCGCUAUUUGAGUGAAAAAAUCCUCCACCCUCGAAUUCUUCGUUAUCCACGGCUUCUAAAACCUGAUAUCCAAUUUCUUCGUCUUCCUGCCUUUAAUCAUUAACCAUGAAACACACAGGUUCCAUUUUUGAGGAUUAUUUGUUAAUCAUGGGGAUGUUCUUCAUGAUUUUGAGUUUGGGCUUAGUUCCCAAGGAAGAUCAGUCAGAAUUUAUUUUGAAUAAAACUCCAAUUACUGAUGUAAAUGUGUCCUCAUGUUGGAGCACCAAAGAAAGACGGGCUCAAACCCUAGGAAUAAAAAAACUCAGAAGAAUUAAAAUAUCAAACCCCGUCUGUGAAUCAAGGAGAUGGGAAUUAUUCUUCCUUUUGUUUUCUCUUGGUUGUUUGAUAGAAUUGAUUUGAUGAAUUGGAUUUUGUUUCAUCGAUGUUGUGAGUUUUGAUGAAAUAGUGAUGGGUAAUUGGGGCGAUUUACGUUUUAUUUUUUUGCUAAGUACACAACUGUAUUCAUAUGUGUAGAAAUUGCAUCUCUGAUGUUGUCGUUUGAUCCCAAUACACGCAGCCUUGAUAAUUUUGUUAUGCUUUAGGACAUAUGUGAUGUGUAUAAACCAUUCCAUCUUCCAUCAUUUGCACUCUUUGACUAUACAAACCUCUGCAUUUUAUUAUGUGUUGUCUAGGGGUUGUUCAUUUCUUCAUGUAUUACAAUUCUUCCCAAGCAGAAUAGUUUUUGAUAGAUUUUGUUCAGUGGGAUAUGUAAGAAUAGAGAUUCCAGAACAUUAAAUAGUGACAAAAGAUGAAGCUUCUUAAAAUAAAGUAUCUACCGACAGAAUUGAAGCUUCUUAUUUAGUGUAACUAUGAAAUUUGAAAAUCUUAGGCUUACCCUAUUAUAUAUCAUUAAGUUUCUUUUUGUUGAAUUGGUUUAACUAUUCAUCUACUUUGAACUUAUUUGAGGGUCUGUUGUGGUUUGAGUAUCAAGAAAUUAUAAUUUUGUGUGAAAUUAGAUUCUUAGUUUUUAUGGUCUUUUGAAGGGUUUGGGUCUGGGUUAGAAUUUUAUAAAAUGGAAGUUGUGGUGGUUGAUAUAGAUUUUUAUAUAAAAUUAGAACUACUAUGAGGGUUUGUGUUUAACUUUGAAGGAAUAGAAAUUCUAUGAAGUUAUUGUGUUUUUGGCAUGAAGAAUUUGAAAUUGGGUCCCGAAGAAGGUAAGAUUUGAAGUACAAGGUGCCAACGUUGGGUUGCAAGAUGUGAGGAGAAAGUCUAUUGUUAGAAAAACAUUCACAAGAAAGAUACAUAUCGAUUGCAUUUCCAGCUUUUUUUAAAAAAAAAAAAAAAAUCACGCAAAGGUCAUCUGCUGAAGUUGUUACUUUUGAACUUUUGGUUCCAUAUAGAUUUUGUUAUAUUGCUACAUUAUUGAGUUCAUUUUUAUCUAUUACCCGCUUACAUUUACUGAUUUGUUUUCUUAUGUAAAGGUAUGACCUACUCUGUAAAAGAAGACCAGUGCCUCACAAAGAGUGUAUAGCCAUGGCUUCUGAGGUAAUCAUCAACAUGGUAGUGAUGCAGUUUUCUAGGUUGAUAGCCAACAGUUUUGCAUUUCUGAUUGUUAGAAAAACGUCUUAAUUCAUGGUAAAUCAAAUAGAAGAUAGAGAACGAACCAACACCCAGAUACCAGGAACAUCAUUAAAUAAAUAGACGGAAGUUUGCAUGAAUUUUGGUAACUCACUAUGACAGAAGCGGCGAAAUAUGGAGGAGGAUUUGGUGUUUAUCAUCCCAAAAGAGAUAAGGAGGUUUAGUUCUGCACAUUUUCCAACUAGAUUUUCCAUUGAAAUUUAUCUUGCAUUUGGUAUUUAUGGUGCACGAUAGACUUAUCUCACAAACCAAAAUGUUCAUUUGGAAGUCCAAAUCCUGUGAUGGAGCAUUUGGUGCAUAUGAUCGCCACAUGUGGUAGUGAUGACAUAUCAUGUUAAUCUGAUCUUGCAUAUUACAGAUAUUUCACUCAUGAGAACAUUGGUUAUUAACAGCUUCCAGUUCAUACAAAAACAUAGUAACUGCUUCAUCCUACAUGGCAAACGAAACAAAACAACAACUUCUAAAUCCUACUCAAGCAUUCAUCUCGAACCAGUCCAAAUCAAAAAAACAAGUUGCCAAGCAGGAAGUAUGCGAGCCAAUAAUUUAUCACCACAAAGGUAAUUCAAGAUAUAUGAAGGAUCGGAGAUAUGGCAUGAAGUUUCACAUGCCAUGACACAAGUUAUGAUGGCCUCGUGGUACUUCGAGGCAUCAUCUGUUUAGCAGUGGAGAAUACUGGAUCCUUGAGCUCCCCUGCAAGUAUUGCUCCUUCACAUGGAUUUUUUUUUUCCUAGAGUUAGCUCUAGCAUAUGGCUGUGUAACUACAAUAUUUGUAGGGAUAAUUAAUAUUCAUCCAGCACUGUAAUUAAAAUGCCAGAAUCAACAGUUUUCUUA